rnacentral:rRNA from 1 species
UACGUAGGGUGCGAGCGUUGUCCGGAAUUAUUGGGCGUAAAGAGCUCGUAGGCGGUGUGUCACGUCGGCCGUGAAAACCUGCAGCUUAACUGUGGGCGUGCGGUCGAUACGGGCAUCACUGGAGUUCGGCAGGGGAGACUGGAAUUCCGGGUGUAGUGGUGAAAUGCGUAGAGAUCCGGAGGAACACCAGUGGCGAAGGCGACACGCUGGGCCGUACCUGACGCUAAAGCGCGACAGCAUGGGGAGCAAACGGG